UCUGGCUCUCUAGCGUUUUUCUUGUUCACAUUCACGUCAUUUUUGUUUCAGAUUCGUGGAGGCCAGUAUAGAAUUGAAAUCAGCAUGUGAUGAGCCAGCCAUUUUGUCACAUUGUUAUUAUGACUAAUAAUGCCAUUUUUUUUAGUAAUUGUGUUGUACUUAUUACAGUUACUGUUGUUAUCAUUGUUCAUAUUACUAUUAUGCAAACAAGAAUGAUAAUAACAAUACCACUAUUACUCACACAACAAAAAAUAAUAAUUCAUAGUCUUGGAUGUGAUGAUGCGUAACAGGCCUCCUCUGGCCCUUUCCACGUCCUUAUGUUCUAGUUAACCUUACAAACAGGCACAUUUCCAUUUUUCUAAAUCAGCGAAGACCUUCACGAUUUCUGGGUUACUCACCAGCGAAAUAAAUACAAUUUCAUACAUAUUGUUUCUCCAUGUGACAAUUCUGAAUUAAACGCUCUAUCAUCUCAGCCAGCUGCAACAGUAUUCACCCAGCGAGGCCGACAUUUCUUUCGGAGCUGAUAGUGAUUCCCCCACCACUCGAGCAUAUGCUGCAAAUUUAUAAUUAGAUGUACUUCAAACAUGCAGUCCUAAUAGGAUGCAGCAACGAUUCAGCUGGCCAGGGCGAAUCAUGCCAUUGCUCGUCUUUUAUCAAUACAGUCAAGUCGGGAUAUGGGAUAAGUAGGUCUCUGCUUGCAAUCAAUUCUAUUCAUUUGGUCUGCAAGACACAGCUUUUCAUCUGCACUUCGAAGCUGAUGAGCAAUGUCAGGACAAGUCUUUAAUACUUGGAGGCUGUAAAAUAUGAAGUGAUAGCCGAGCAGUGGGACAUGAUCAAACCAUCCUCCAUACACCAUUAAAGGUUCUUCACCCUCAUCAAAUUGGCAUUACCAUUCGUUACCUUUGUUUCCCGAUUUGCUCUAAACCUCGUCAAUGAAUUUGGAGUCUUUUGUUGAAGGUAUAAGUGGAAAAAUUCUAUAAGGAUCCUGUCGUCCCAAAGCGCCAAGGCUUACACCUCAAUGACCCUGUUGAGUUCAAUAGAUGACACGACUCUUGGCUUCUCAGUGAUUCGUUUCGUCAGGAGUUAUCUAACAGUUGACGUUUACAAUACCGUUCACAUAUACAAUCGAAUCAAUUGUUUUCUUUUGUCCAUGUCGACUCCCUUAGCCUUGAAAUCGUUGGACGAUUUCAUAAAGCAUUGAGACCGGUUGUCCACAUCAGGGAAUUAAUUUAUCAGCUGCAUAGUGCGUCUAGUGGAUCUCCAUAUUGCAAAUUUGGGAUCAAAUCUCCCAGUUCACCCGGGUGUCAAGCUGGAUCCACGAAGGCUGUGAGUUACUACUAACAGGUACUGUGGGGAACUGGCCAGUGGAAGGACUGUGUACUAACCAAUGGAAAAACUUGCUCAGCUAGAAAUUUAGCAUUGUGUGCUGAAAUUAGAUGGAAAUCAACUCAUAUACCUGGCGCAUGCCAUUUAAUCGUUCAAUACACUCAAUUGUUCCUUAGUCUCGUCAUUCAUAUCAUUGUUCAACUCCUUGUCAAUACUCUCUAUGUCAAAUAUCUUUAUGGUUGUUGGUCGAGUAAAAAAGUACAUUUUGUACUUGAGUACCGUGAAUCUAAGUGUACGGAAGUCGACAUACCCAAGAUUGAUUGAAUCAUGAUGGAAUGAAUCUGGUGUAUUAUAAACAGAGCCACGUUCAAUUGAACAUAGUGUGAAGCUGUUGCAGUAGACAAUUUUGCAGUAUAAUCACACAAACUGAACAGGACGUAUUAACAUUAAAUGUAACUGUGCUGAACUACUUAGGUUCCCAGUGAACUCGUACCCUCUUUUCCUCCAAUGAAGACAACAUAUGGACCUGUUCACGAAAAGCAUAAAGCCAGAUGUUUAGAAAGGUAUUGCACCUGCUUGGUGAUCACACUGCUUGAAGAGUGAUUAGGAGUGAGAACUUCUUUGUGUUGUUCGAGAAAAUGUGCGUUUCUCACUGUCGUUAGUGGUGAAGCCCAUUGAUUUGGCCUGGCUCCUGUAUCGAACAGCUAACCUGGAUUAUGCCAUGCAAUAGAUUUUAGAAAUAUCUGUGAUUCCAUGGUAAAGAACGAAACUCCAUUCUAUCAAAACAUAAGGAACCAGCUGAGCAGCAGUUGAUGUCACCUCUUUCCUUACAGUAAAUUUGUUAACAUCAAAAACAAAGGAAUCAGUUUGAUUAGCUCCCUGGAGCCUGUGACCUUAUAUAAAUUUAGCUGUUUUUUUUUCAAUAUAGUGUUGGACAUCAUAAAGGGUUCUCUUAAAAAUGCAUGGAAUACCAAGAGGUCUAGUGUUUGCCAUUUACUAUCCUGCCCUUGCAGCUAUUGGACUUCCAGUGAAGGACACUAAUAAUAUGCCACUAAUUGAUAAAGAGAUGAAGGUAGUUGAAGAUCUAGACCAAUCAUUAUGAUGGAAGAGUAAGUGUUGGACAAGUUAAUGGAAAUAAAGAUAGACAAGUCUCUUGGCCCUGGUGGAACAUAUCACAGUGUACUAAAAGAGGUGGCAGGAGAGCAGCAGGAAGAUGGGAGCGAUGACCAGGGGACUGCCAGGAAGCUAAUCUGGCAGUGAUUGUCAUCCUUUCUCGAAGAAGAUGCGGCCUUUCUGGAUGUAUUAUCUAUUACCUGGUGUCCAUGGCAGUAACGGAUCUCAUGCUCAUAGUCACAGCUGUAAUACUAAAUCGGAUCGCUGGGAUUUAUUUCCCAUCCAGCUUCCUGUUUAUCACCCCAGUAUGCAGCCUCCGCUUGGCCUUUAAUUUUGCAGCUAUUGAUAGCUCUGCCUGGUUUACAGUUGCUUUCACCUUUGAUAGAUUUGUGGCUAUUUGUUGCCAGAAGCUGAAAAUGAAAUAUUGCACUGAGAAGAUGGCAGUGCGUGUGAUCGGAAUCGUGUCCGCACUGACCUGUUUAAAAAAUGUCUUUGUGUAUUUUAUAUAUGAACCUCUGUACAUAAUUAACAAUAUACCUUGGUUUUGUAGUGCAAAAUUAGCAUUUUACACUUCGCCAGCUUGGGCUGCAUAUGACUGGAUGCGGCCUAUUGUAACUCCUUGUCUCCCCUUUAUUCUGAUUUUACUACUGAAUAUUCUGACUGUCAGACACAUCCUCGUGGCCAAUAGAGCCCGCAGGCGACUUCGGGUCCAGAACAAUGGAGAAACGCAGCAUGACUCAGAAAUGGAAAAACGGAGAAAAUCAAUUGUUUUACUUUUUACCAUCUCGGGCACUUUUAUCCUGUUGUAUUUGCUAUUCAUAAUAACGAUCAUCUACGUCCGAGUUGCGAAAAUUGCCUACUUCUCUGGUUCUGAUGACAACGAAGCAAAAUUUGUUCUUGAAGAAACCGGAUUUAUGCUUCUCUUCUUGACUUCGUGCGUCAAUCCAUUCAUUUAUGCCGGGACCCAAAGUAAAAUCAGGGAUGAAUUAAAGAAUGGACUGAAAUAUCCUCUGAGAGUAUUCAUUCAAAUAUUCCAAAGUUGAAGAUAAGAAAGUCGUUAUUAUUUGUAGAUUAUUGUUCAACAUGUACAUCAACUAUAUAUGUUAUCAAGUAGUUGGCUUUCAAUCUUCAUACCUGAUGAAGAGCUUAUCCUGCUCCUUGGAUGCUACCUGAUCAACUAUGCUUUUCCUGCACCACACUCUUUGACUUUUAAACUCACACUUUGGAUAAAGAUUAAGAAUGAAUAGGGAAUGCUGCACCCUCCCACAUUUCAUGAACUUUAAUAUUCUCAGUUAAUUUCCAAAUUUCUAAGGCAUGAUUGUUCAGACCUGAUCCUUUCCUUUUAGCAAAGUGGAAAGGUAGGCCACAAUGAGCUGUAAUUGGAUUUUGUUG